UGAUAUGUCUUUGGAGUCGGUGUUGAC
rnacentral:piRNA from 1 species